UACAGAGGUCUCAAGCGUUGUUCGGAUUCAUUGGGCGUAAAGGGUGCGUAGGCGGCGCGGUAAGUCGGGCGUGAAAUCUCGGGGCUUAACUCCGAAACUGCAUUCGAUACUGCCGUGCUUGUGGACUGGAGAGGAGACUGGAAUUUACGGUGUAGCGGUGAAAUGCGUAGAUAUCGUAAGGAAGACCAGUGGCGAAGGCGGGUCUCUGGACAGUUCCUGACGCUGAGGCACGAAGGUCAGGGGAGCAAACGGG
rnacentral:rRNA from 1 species